rnacentral:rRNA from 1 species
UACGUAGGUGGCAAGCGUUGUCCGGAAUUAUUGGGCGUAAAGCGCGCGCAGGCGGUCUCUUAAGUCUGAUGUGAAAGCCCACGGCUCAACCGUGGAGGGUCAUUGGAAACUGGGGGACUUGAGUGCAGAAGAGGAAAGCGGAAUUCCACGUGUAGCGGUGAAAUGCGUAGAGAUGUGGAGGAACACCAGUGGCGAAGGCGGCUUUCUGGUCUGUAACUGACGCUGAGGCGCGAAAGCAUGGGGAGCGAACAGG